CUAAUUCCUUCGAAGCCACUUCGUUAUUUGUGCAUCGCUAAUUAUAAAACGUCGUGCUAAACGUUGCAAUGCACUCGACUUGUUCUAUUUCUAAUUAAUUUGAGCCAUUUCGUCGCUAAAAAUACUAAACUAAUUACGUUCACGCUGGCUGUGGAUUAAGUGAUGUGACAAACAUAUUCGCGUUUACGUUAAAAGUCGAUAAAAAUCUGUGGUUCUAACGAAGAUAGCUGAUGUAAUAAAGAGUAAUAUGAUUUUAACCGCGUAUUCCCACGGUAGUGAUGCUGCGCGAGUGAAGCUGCGGGACGAUCGCCAGUUAAAAUAUGCUAUCUACACAUUAACACGGCUAGUAUGAAGGAAAGUCGAUGAAUAUGGCACCAGGAUCAAAAUUACCGAAUGACGUUUAAGAUUAAUAUUAAUAAUUAAAUAAAACAAUUAAAUAUAUCUACAAACCACAGAACACGCUUUAAAAUUAACGCUUUAAUGAAAGUAGUUGGACAGAAAUGUACAAAUAUAAUAUUAUACAUACGAGACAACUCGGACAAUUAACUUACUCGUAAAUAUAAAAUAAUGUGUAAGAUCAUUAACGUACGUACAAUGUCUAUUAAUAGUAACACUAGAAUUAGGUAAUUAUUCAGAAAGUUGCUGACUAUACCUAUAUAUGAAUCGUGUGUGCAUACAUAACAACUUAAAAAAAGAUUAAAACGUCAUCAAACACACUAAAAUUAGUGUAGCUAAUUAUUCUUAGAAAAUUUGGUAGUCAGCAUUAAAAAAAAUAACGUAAUUUUAUUGUCGACGAGUGAUAAUAAAAAAAAUAAAAGCCUGAAUUGGGAAAUCCGAAAAAUAACAUAAUUAUUAAUAAUGUACCCUAUGUAACUUGCACAACUACGAUGAAUCUAAUUAGUCUGCGUGACACACGAUGCUAAAAAUGUACUUAUGCAAGUGUCACGGAGACCUAUUCGGUAAAUGAUAAAGAGAAUAAGGUGUUUUAUACAAUACCCGCUUUAGGGGAAAAGAACCAAAAGACUUGCAGAAAUUAUCAGAAGUUGUUUUCGUUAUUUUGGAAUUCAUCAUCAUCAUCAUUUGCAGCCGAUGGACGUCCUAGGCAGGUGGACAUAGGUCUCUUGUAUAGACUUCCAAUCACCACGGUCUCAGAUUGCAGAGCAUGUAACCAGCUGGGGUUGAAGGCUGCCAGCAUUCAACGGAUCUCUGCAAUCCGCUUGAUGUCCUCGGUCUAUCAUCCUUGGUGUUGUACUCGACCAUCACUGCGCUUUCCGUUGUGGCGUCGCUAUUCCAGCACCUUGAGACUUCAAUUUUGGAAUUAUUUCCUUCAAAAUAGAAUAAAAAUAUACCAUUAAUGUUAGGAAAUUAAAUAAG